rnacentral:lncRNA from 1 species
UUAAACAACAAAUCAAAUUGAAAGAUUUAGGGAUGAAUCACUAUAUUGAAUUUAAUAAUAAUACCAUGUAGUUCUCUGUUAUAUAUAUAUAAAAAAAAUUACGUUCAAGUUUUCUUAUCCGAUCCGCCUCUUAUCCGAUCCGCCACCUGUUCAGAAACUCAUUUAUCUAGACAAAAAAAGAUGAAGAGAAUGCUAGGAACAUAGGCACAUAGCUCAUCCAUAACAGUAACAACACAAGCGGCAGAGCAUCAAUCAGUAUACAGCUCUCGAUUUGUAAAUACAGCAGCACGCUAAACAAAAGAUUAGUACACCUAAAAUUUUGAGAUGAAAGGGAUAAAAGCUAACAUCUUCAUGGAAUUCCUGGUAGGACUCUCUUUUCUUGUUUUUCCAAUUACAGUACUGUAGCUUUCACCAAAACGAUGCUCCAGAAACCACCGUCAAAGAACUCUCAUGCAUUUGAUGAUUCUCACAACUAUACACACUAUAACCUAUCAUUCAUCACUAGCUGUGAAAAAGAAGAAGAAAGAUCCAGCAUGUUUUAAGAACAAAAGGUACCUCAUAAGUAAAUGACUUAUCCUCUGCUGCACCUCUUGAAGAUAACUACAAGGUGAAAACACAGAGCACAGGGAUAGUAGGAUUCCAAACAAAACCAAAAAAUCCCAUUUCCCUUGGCUCUCUUCAACUUUCAAUUAAGUUGAAAAUGAAAAAAAAAACCCAUAUCCAAAUAUCAAACAGGUUGAAUGCACUUUUGAUUUUAUCACAUGAUAUUUUGAUUUACAGAUGGUAAAGCACAGGCCAGCUAAAGGAUGACAUCAAAUAAGAGAGAAGAAGCUUCAUGGAUUAAAUUAAUUACCAAAUCACAGGAAAAGUUGCAAGCAAAUCGUAUAUGAUAUAUCAUAUUUAUGCAUAUAGUUAAAAGAAAUGUGGGCCCGGUUGAGAAAUGUGGUGUAACC